CGGUUACACGGCAGUGAUUCGAGCCGACGUCGCGCUGCUCUAGAUUAGCUCAGUACACGUGGAUAAUCUGCCCUAUGGUGGAGGAUAACCCCGGGAAACUGGGGAUAAUACUCCAUAAGUCAGGAGUACUGGAAUGUCUCCUAACUGAAAGUUGCGGCGCCAUAGGAUGAAUCUGCGGCCGAUUAGGUAGUUGUUGGGGUAACGGCCCUUUUUUUCUGUAAUCGGUACGGGUUGUGGGAGCAAGAGCCCGGAGAUGGAAUCUGAGACACGAUUUUUUUGCCCGCGGGGCGCAGCAGGCGCGAAAACUUUACAAUGCAGGAUUCUCUCGUUUAAGGGAACCCCGAGUGCGCCGUAAACCCCGGGCUGUCCCGGUGUUUAAAACACAUCGGAAGAAAGGGCCGGGCAAGACCGGUGUCAGCUGUCUGUGGUAAUACCGGCGGCUCGAGUGGUGACCACUUUUAUUGGGCUUAAAGCGUUCGUAGCUUUGAUUUUUAAGUCUCUUGGAAAUCUCACGGCUUAACUGUGAGCGUCUAAGAGAUACUGGGAAUCUAGGGACCGGGAGAGUAAGAGUACUUCAGGUUAGAGUGAAUUCUGUAUCCUUGAGGGACCACGAUGCGAGCAUCUUAACAGAACCGCUCGACAGUGAGACGAGCUGGUGUACGACGAAUAGAUACCGUAGUCCAGCGUAAACUUAUGCCG
rnacentral:rRNA from 1 species